rnacentral:ncRNA from 1 species
AUUCAAGGGGUGUCCGCAUAUUGCGGGCUGAGAUGAUACCCUGCUGACCUGAUCCGGGCAAUGCCGGCGUAGGGAUGGAAUAA